rnacentral:tRNA from 1 species
GGGACCGUAGCUCAAUGGGAGAGCACUACGCUGGCAGCGUAGGGGUUGUGGGUUCGAGCCCCAUCGGUUCCACCA